UUUUUAUUUGAUAAUAAAUUCUAGCAUUUCAAUGUGCUUUGAACACUUUAAUGUCUAGUACUUUUAGUUAUCUCCUUUCACUUUUCUCAAAUUAGUUCUUUUUUCUCUCUUAGUUGGUGGCCUUUUUUCUUGUUUUAUCUUUUUUCUUAUUACGGACUAGCCUCGAGAAAGGUGCCAUUUGGAUUUGUGCAGUACACAGUAAAUCAUUUUUUUGUUGACCCCUUCUUCCAAGAAAUGGAACUUACAGGGUGUGAGCUUGGGAAUUCAUUGUAUAGAUUCAUCUCCUUGUUGUUGAAUAUAGAAUUGUGGUUAUGCGUAAGUUUGGUGUGCUCUUGACACAACCUGUUUCCAGCAUUAGAGAUCCAAGAUGUGAGCUGUUGGUGCUUCUCUAUAUUGAAUUUCUUUCUUCUAUAAACCAAAAGAAAAUGUGUUAUGUUGAAUAUGCGUCCAGGUGAUUGCAUAUGCUUGGACAUGCUUUUAGGAAUCUUGUCAGUGUUUGUGAUAUCAUGCUGCAUAUUGUCAACUUUCUGGUGAGUUGUACAAGCAACCAAGUGAAGGAAGGAAAAAAAUAUAUAUAUAUAUAUAACAAAAAGCACCAACCAGAUAGGUUCCUUUAUCCCAACUCAA
rnacentral:misc_RNA from 1 species